AAACUAUUGUCAAUAUGCUUACAGUGAUGAUGAUCAGCAAGAUGCUGAAAACAACAUGAUCAUGUGUACCUCAAGAUAUACAGCAUCGAUGGCUGAGAAUGGCUCUAGAAGCUCAACUAUUUCUCCUCCAGACAAACCAUCACCUUCAUGUCAUUGCAGUCUACAUGAACUUAAUGCCUUGAAGAAGAGGAAGCUGGAGCUUCAAAUACAAUUGUUUGAGGCCCAGUUGGCGCGAUUUGAUGAGGAAUAGAUUAUUUUGUUAUUUGUUAUUAUUUUGUUAUGAAG